rnacentral:tRNA from 1 species
CUUAGCUCAGUUGGUUAGAGCAGUGGACUCAUAAUCCAAUGGUCCCAGGUUCGAGUCCUGGAG